GAUGAAGAACGCAGCGAAAUGCGAUAAGUAAUGUGAAUUGUAGAAUUCAGUGAAUCAUCGAAUCUUUGAACGCACAUUGCGCCCGCCAGUAUUCUGGCGGGCAUGCCUGUUCGAGCGUCAUUUCAACCAUCAAGCCCUGCUUGCGUUGGGGUCCUGCGGCUGCCCGCAGGCCCUGAAAACCAGUGGCGGGCUCGCUAGUCACACCGAGCGCAGUAAUACAUCUCGCUUUGGGCGUGCGGCGGGUUCUUGCCGUUAAACACCCCCUUUUUACCAAGGUUGACCUCGGAUCAGGUAGGAAUACCCGCUGAACUUAAGCAUAUCAAUAAGCGGAGGA
rnacentral:misc_RNA from 1 species